GGCGGCGUGCCUAAUACAUGCAAGUAGAACGCUGAAGAGAGGAGCUUGCUCUUCUUGGAUGAGUUGCGAACGGGUGAGUAACGCGUAGGUAACCUGCCUUGUAGCGGGGGAUAACUAUUGGAAACGAUAGCUAAUACCGCAUAACAAUAGGUGACACAUGUCAUUUAUUUGAAAGGGGCAAUUGCUCCACUACAAGAUGGACCUGCGUUGUAUUAGCUAGUAGGUGAGGUAACGGCUCACCUAGGCGACGAUACAUAGCCGACCUGAGAGGGUGAUCGGCCACACUGGGACUGAGACACGGCCCAGACUCCUACGGGAGGCAGCAGUAGGGAAUCUUCGGCAAUGGGGGCAACCCUGACCGAGCAACGCCGCGUGAGUGAAGAAGGUUUUCGGAUCGUAAAGCUCUGUUGUAAGUCAAGAACGAGUGUGAGAGUGGAAAGUUCACACUGUGACGGUAGCUUACCAGAAAGGGACGGCUAACUACGUGCCAGCAGCCGCGGUAAUACGUAGGUCCCGAGCGUUGUCCGGAUUUAUUGGGCGUAAAGCGAGCGCAGGCGGUUUGAUAAGUCUGAAGUUAAAGGCUGUGGCUCAACCAUAGUUCGCUUUGGAAACUGUCAAACUUGAGUGCAGAAGGGGAGAGUGGAAUUCCAUGUGUAGCGGUGAAAUGCGUAGAUAUAUGGAGGAACACCGGUGGCGAAAGCGGCUCUCUGGUCUGUAACUGACGCUGAGGCUCGAAAGCGUGGGGAGCGAACAGGAUUAGAUACCCUGGUAGUCCACGCCGUAAACGAUGAGUGCUAGGUGUUGGAUCCUUUCCGGGAUUCAGUGCCGCAGCUAACGCAUUAAGCACUCCGCCUGGGGAGUACGACCGCAAGGUUGAAACUCAAAGGAAUUGACGGGGGCCCGCACAAGCGGUGGAGCAUGUGGUUUAAUUCGAAGCAACGCGAAGAACCUUACCAGGUCUUGACAUCCCGAUGCUAUUUCUAGAGAUAGAAAGUUACUUCGGUACAUCGGUGACAGGUGGUGCACGGUUGUCGUCAGCUCGUGUCGUGAGAUGUUGGGUUAAGUCCCGCAACGAGCGCAACCCCUACUGUUAGUUGCCAUCAUUCAGUUGGGCACUCUAGCGAGACUGCCGGUAAUAAACCGGAGGAAGGUGGGGAUGACGUCAAAUCAUCAUGCCCCUUAUGACCUGGGCUACACACGUGCUACAAUGGUUGGUACAACGAGUUGCGAGUCGGUGACGGCAAGCUAAUCUCUUAAAGCCAAUCUCAGUUCGGAUUGUAGGCUGCAACUCGCCUACAUGAAGUCGGAAUCGCUAGUAAUCGCGGAUCAGCACGCCGCGGUGAAUACGUUCCCGGGCCUUGCACACACCGCCCGUCA
rnacentral:rRNA from 1 species